GCCCGAGGGAAAAUGGUACAGGGGGGGGACGCCGGGGCCGGGCCGGGGUCCGGCCGGAGCCUCCGCUGCCUUCAGCGCCGCGCCGCCCCCGGGGCUGCGGCUCUGCCCGCGCCGCCGCUCCCGCGCUAUGGGCAGCCGGGGAAGCGGAGCCGAGCGAGGAGUGGAGGCUGGCCGUGCCCGACGCUUUGCCAUGUAAACCUCCUCGGCCUCGCACACUGCAGCACAGACAGAUGUUGGCACAGCCCCGGACCUGCAGAACGGGCCACCACUGUCACUGCCUGCAGCCGGAGACACCCACCUCGGGAGAGAAAUGAAGAUGCUGGGAGCAUACCAACCACCUCCGCUGGGCCCCGCACUGCUGCGUGGCUGCUGCGCUCCGUUCUCCACUACCCGCAGCAGUGA
rnacentral:lncRNA from 1 species